AACGCAAAGAAGGGCCAACGGAUAAAUUGCGGGCCAUUAAUUUAGAGCCUUUGCUUUUUACGUUGAAGAAUCUUAACGUACUUUGACCUUUAACCUGCGGCCGAGGGCCUCGGAGAGAAACGCCUCCGUUUCUAUAUAAGGGAUUUCCGGCCUUUGGCGGCCCUUUUUUUCCUCUUAGCGCUGGGCGCAGACCGGUUGCGCGCCUCUUUUUCUUCGCUGCCUCCCAGUUCUAGAUUAGCCGUCGCCAUGGGUUUUGGAGACUUGAAAAGCCCCGCUGGCCUCCAGGUGCUCAACGACUACUUGGCGGACAAGAGUUACAUAGAGGGGUAUGUGCCAUCCCAAGCAGAUGUAGCAGUGUUUGAAGCCGUCUCCGGCCCACCACCUGCCGACUUGUGUCAUGCCCUCCGUUGGUAUAAUCACAUCAAAUCUUAUGAGAAGGAAAAGGCCAGCCUGCCAGGAGUGAAGAAAGCUUUGGGCAAGUAUGGCCCUGCUAAUGUGGAAGACACCACAGAAAGUGGAGCUACAGAUAGUAAAGAUGAUGAUGACAUUGAUCUCUUUGGAUCUGAUGAUGAGGAGGAAAGUGAAGAAGCCAAGAGGCUAAGAGAAGAACGCCUUGCCCAGUAUGAGUCAAAGAAAGCCAAAAAGCUUCAAAACUUCCACAGCUACUGGUCUGCAGCUGUUCUUAAAGGUAGCAGCUGUGGCAUUCCACUGUGGGAAAGAAACUGUCGCACAACUCAACACCUCUUUCUCAGCACAACAGAAAGUGGGCAUGUGUGUGACAAACACAAGAACCAGCACUUGUCGCCAAGUCUUCCAUCUUAUUAGACGUGAAACCUUGGGAUGAUGAGACCGAUAUGGCAAAACUAGAGGAGUGCGUCAGAAGCAUUCAAGCAGACGGCUUGGUCUGGGGCUCUUCUAAACUAGUUCCGGUUGGGUAUGGCAUUAAAAAACUUCAAAUACAGUGUGUAGUUGAAGACGACAAAGUUGGGACAGACAUGCUGGAGGAGCAGAUCACUGCUUUCGAUGAGUAUGUACAGUCUAUGGAUGUGGCUGCAUUCAACAAGAUCUAAAAUCCAUCAUGGUUCAGUGCCCAUAAAUAAAAGUUUGAAAGACAA